rnacentral:lncRNA from 1 species
AACUGAUUCUCCAGGAGGUCUUAAGGCCCCGAAGCAGAAUUUCCGACCACUGCACAAUCAACAGCACAAGAAACUCAAACAUCCAAGAUGAGGUCCAAUAUCGCCCUAACCAUCGGUCUCCUGUUGGCUGCCUUUGUCCUCAUGGCGACUCUCUCUCCUGCAGCUUGCAGUCUCAUGCCAACCCACAACUGCACAGAAAUAACUGUCGACUGCAACGAGGACCCUGAUCACCAAUGCUGCAGGUUAAUCAAUUGAGAGAAUUGUCUCCAGUUGGCACUUUAUGGGGAAUGAGUGAUGUCGAUGCAGAGACGAAUAAACAAAAGAAAGAAAA